rnacentral:rRNA from 1 species
UACGGGGGGGGGCAAGCGUUUGUUCGGAAUUACUGGGCGUAAAGGGCUCGUAGGUGGCCAACUAAGUCAGACGUGAAAUCCCCAGGCUCAACUUGGGAACUGCGUCUGAUACUGGAUGGCUUGAAUUCGGGAGAGGGAUGCAGAAUUCCAGGUGUAGCGGUGAAAUGCGUAGAUAUCUGGAGGAAUACCGGUGGCGAAGGCGGCAUCCUGGACCGGCAUUGACGCUGAGGAGCGAAAGCUAGGGGAGCAAACGGG